rnacentral:rRNA from 1 species
ACGCUGGCGGCGUGCUUAACACAUGCAAGUCGAACGAUGAACCAGGAGCUUGCUCUUGGGGAUUAGUGGCGAACGGGUGAGUAACACGUGAGUAACCUGCCCUUGACUCUGGGAUAAGCGUUGGAAACGACGUCUAAUACCGGAUACGAGCUUCAGCCGCAUGGCUAGGAGCUGGAAAGAAUUUCGGUCAAGGAUGGACUCGCGGCCUAUCAGCUAGUUGGUGAGGUAAUGGCUCACCAAGGCGACGACGGGUAGCCGGCCUGAGAGGGUGACCGGCCACACUGGAACUGAGACACGGUCCAGACUCCUACGGGAGGCAGCAGUGGGGAAUAUUGCACAAUGGGCGAAAGCCUGAUCCAGCCAUGCCGCGUGUGUGAAGAAGGUCUUCGGAUUGUAAAGCACUUUAAGUUGGGAGGAAGGGCAGUAAAUUAAUACUUUGCUGUUUUGACGUUACCGACAGAAUAAGCACCGGCUAACUCUGUGCCAGCAGCCGCGGUAAUACAGAGGGGUGCAAGCGUUAAUCGGAAUUACUGGGCGUAAAGCGCGCGUAGGUGGUUCGUUAAGUUGGAUGUGAAAUCCCCGGGCUCAACCUGGGAACUGCAUUCAAAACUGACGAGCUAGAGUAUGGUAGAGGGUGGUGGAAUUUCCUGUGUAGCGGUGAAAUGCGUAGAUAUAGGAAGGAACACCAGUGGCGAAGGCGACCACCUGGACUGAUACUGACACUGAGGUGCGAAAGGUGGGGAGCAAAC